GACGAACGCUGGCGGCGUGCUUAACACAUGCAAGUCGAACGGAAAGGCCCCUUUGGGGGUACUCGAGUGGCGAACGGGUGCGUAACACGUGAGUAACCUGCCCUUGACUUCGGGAUAACUUCAGGAAACUGGGGCUAAUACCGGAUAGGAAUCCUUGCUGCAUGGUGGGGGUUGGAAAGCUUCGGCGGUUUUGGAUGGACUCGCGGCUUAUCAGCUUGUUGGUGGGGUAGUGGCUUACCAAGGCUUUGACGGGUAGCCGGCCUGAGAGGGCGACCGGCCACAUUGGGACUGAGAUACGGCACAGACUCCUACGGGAGGCAGAAGUGGGGAAUAUUGCACAAUGGGCGGAAGCCUGAUGCAGCAACGCCGCGGGCGGGAGGACGGCCUUCGGGUUGUAAACCGCUUUCAGCAGGGGCGAAGCUUGUGGUGACGGUACCUGCAGAAGAAGCACCGGCUAACUACGUG
rnacentral:rRNA from 1 species